AGAGUUUGAUCCUGGCUCAGGAUGAACGCUAGCUACAGGCUUAACACAUGCAAGUCGAGGGGAAACGAUAUUGGAAAGCUUGCUUCCGAUAGGCGUCGACCGGCGCACGGGUGAGUAACGCGUAUCCAACCUGCCCACCACUUGGGGAUAACCUUGCGAAAGUAAGACUAAUACCCAAUGAUAUCUCUAGAAGACAUCUGAAAGAGAUUAAAGAUUUAUCGGUGAUGGAUGGGGAUGCGUCUGAUUAGCUUGUUGGCGGGGUAACGGCCCACCAAGGCGACGAUCAGUAGGGGUUCUGAGAGGAAGGUCCCCCACAUUGGAACUGAGACACGGUCCAAACUCCUACGGGGCAGCA
rnacentral:rRNA from 1 species